AGUGAACGCUGGCGGCGUGCUUAACACAUGCAAGUCGAACGGUAGCAGAUAGAAGCUUGCUUCUAUGCUGACGAGUGGCGCACGGGUGAGUAAUGUAUAGCUAACGUGCCCCUUAGAGGGGGAUAACAGUUGGAAACGGCUGCUAAUACCCCAUACUCCUUCUAUCUUAAUGAUAGUUGGGAAAUGUUUUUUCGCUAAGGGAUCGGGCUAUAUGGUAUCAGCUAGUUGGUGAGGUAAUGGCUCACCAAGGCAAUGACACCUAGCUGGUCUGAGAGGAUGAUCAGCCACACUGGAACUGAGACACGGUCCAGACUCCUACGGGAGGCAGCAGUGGGGAAUAUUGCACAAUGGGGGGAACCCUGAUGCAGCAACGCCGCGUGGAGGAUGACACAUUUCGGUGCGUAAACUCCUUUUAUAUAGGAAGAUAAUGACGGUACUAUAUGAAUAAGCACCGGCUAACUCCGUGCCAGCAGCCGCAGUAA
rnacentral:rRNA from 1 species